rnacentral:lncRNA from 1 species
AUAGUUGGGCUCCCAGGCAUCGUGCACAAUGGGAUAAGAUAAAAACAACAAUAUAGUAAACUAACAAAUUUAACAACCAUAAUCAACUGUAAGCUAUUUGGCAUUUAGCAACAACCAUAUUAAUCAGAUUAACUGAAACUGAUUUCAUUUUUCGUACUAAUUCCCAAAAGAAAUAACAGAAAAGGAAGAAAAAGAAAUGCAUAGCCCCACAAAUUCUUCAUAUAACUACACCCAAUCGCUCACUCAUCAUCCUCGUCAUCAUCUUCAUCAUCAUCCUCCUGCAAUUGUAGUUUACCAAAAGCAGAAGAAAAUUAAGUACACAAAUAUUUUUUAUUACAGCUGAAACUAACUGAAAAACUGGAUUUGACCAAUUAUGUGGUGAGGUGAACUAUAAAAUAUAGACAAUAUUAAUAAAAGCAAAAAAGAAACUAUUAUCUUAUCCCAUCAAAUCAUAUCCAUCCUAGGAUACCAGACCAAAAAGCAACUUUAUCACAACAGAAGAUUUAAACUACAUACACAAUUUUGACAAAUCAAGGAGCAGUUGAAGCUAAAAUCAUAUCUACUAUAAGGUCAAGUUCUCAAUUAAAACAUCUCUAUGCGUGCCUGUCGUCUUUCUUCUCUGUGUGUCUGGCUUCUGCGUGACAUAUUUUAUUAUUUUUAUUAUUUUUUUUGCGUGUAUAUAUUUUUUUUCUUGGCCGCGUUUUCUUUUCAGGCCCCAAAAGAAGUCCAAUUUUUCACGGCCUUUUUAAUUCUCUCGCCGCCGGCUUCUUCUUUUCCUCUCAAUUGGCCGCCGCCAAUUCUCCUUCCCUCAGAAAAAACUUCCCGCGGACAUUUAUGUGGUUCCCAUUUACAAGAAUCAAAAUGCUCAAUAAUUCUUUGUUUUGCUCAACUGUUUUUGCAUUGUAAAAGGAAGGGAAGUGAGUAUGCCAUACUGAUGUUGAAGACUCUGGAAAGCACCUAAGCUUCGCAUGCUUAUUUGGAGGACGUUUCAUAAUGUUAUUCCUUAAAUCUGGUAAUUGCAUAUACUGUGGGCAGCCAGAGGACAUUCGAGUUCAACGUACUCUGUUUUGGCGCUUUACCAUUAAGAAAAUAGGGAAUAACUUGGGUGUGUUGUGGAGUUUGCGCAAACAAGUAGAUUUAAUGAAGACGUCAACAGGAUCUUCCAUCGCUGAUCAGUAGAAGAAUUCGAUCCAAUAUGUGCAUCAUUUAUUGUCUGGCAGAAGAAACGGUGCAUCACACGGAGAUUCAGCACACAAAUUGAUGCCUUCGUAACGAUGGGAAAGGUACCAAGGAAUGGACUUGGCUCAUGGAAGUAGCAAAUGAGGUAAAAUUGAUGAUUCUGGGCAAUUCGAAAUGAUGUUUGGACAGACAUCAAGCUCAAGGAUUACACGGUUUAAUCUUCCCUCGAGAUUGCAUUGGAAAAAGAUUAUUUAUUUUUUUAGGUAUCCAACUUGACAAUAUAAUGAAUAUAUUACUUAAAAAGAAUGUUUUCCAGAUCAGACCCAAAAGUUAAGCACCAUCUUAAAAGCUUAGCCAAAUGUUUCAUUUGUUGGGUUUAACCUAAAAAACAUAAUCAAAAAGGAAAAUAUCUUUAUGCUAAUCACAAAUGACAUACAAGACUGAUAGUUGGGCUCCCAGACAUCGUGCACAAUGGGAUAAGAUAAAAACAACAAUAUAGUAAACUAACAAAUUUAACAACCAUAAUCAACUGUAAGCUAUUUGGCAUUUAGCAACAACCAUAUUAAUCAGAUUAACUGAAACUGAUUUCAUUUUUCGUACUAAUUCCCAAAAGAAAUAACAGAAAAGGAAGAAAAAGAAAUGCAUAGCCCCACAAAUUCUUCAUAUAACUACACCCAAUUGCUCACUCAUCAUCCUCGUCAUCAUCUUCAUCAUCAUCCUCCUGCAAUUGUAGUUUACCAAAAGCAGAAGAAAAUUAAGUACACAAAUAUUUUUUAUUACAGCUGAAACUAACUGAGAAACUGGAUUUGACCAAUUAUGUGGUGAGGUGCACUAUAAAAUAUAGACAAUAUUAAUAAAAGCAAAAAAGAAACUAUUAUCUUAUCCCAUCAAAUCAUAUCCAUCCUAGGAUACCAGACCAAAAAGCAACUUUAUCACAACAAAAGAUUUGAACUACAUACACAAUUUUGACAAAUCAAGGAGCAGUUGAAGCUAAAAUCAUAUCUACUAUAAGGUCAAGUUCUCAAUUAAAACAACUGCAGUGGUACUAUACAGUUGAAAUUAAAAGCUCGACUUCUACAAUUAUCAAUAUGUUUGAGCCACAUUUUAGAAAAGAAUGCAUUAUUCAAGUCAAAUCAAUGGAAAAUAUGUGGUUAAAAAAUAAAGAAAAAUUCAAGACAUACAUGUAAUAUUAUUUUAUUGAAAAAUAUGUGAUUAAAAUGAAGUCAAAUCACCGUUGAAGAAUAUAUAUUUUUUUAAAAUAAUGUGGCUUGUUUUCCACAGUCAAUUUUUUAUCCAUUGUUGCUUGUCAAUGAGUACCGGUUGAGAGGAAAACAAAUAUAUACAGUACAAUAUCUUAAUUAAGAAUGGAAAAGUAAAAAACAAUGUGUUUUUCUUCCCUGCUCCUUACAUUCCACGAGUAAACAAACCAUGAGGAAUUCUUUGUUAGAGCAGGAUAAAUUGAAUAAGGUACAAGAGCACAUUUCAGUAAGCUUAGAAUUAAUAAGUAAACGUUAAUUAACACUAACAUUUUAUUGUCAAACUGUCUCAAGAAACUGGUUUUUUAAAUUAAUUGAAAAAAUUCCUAAGCUUAACAUAAUGAAUUUAUUUUCUUUUGGUAAAUAAAAAAUUCAUCUUUUAAAGCUUAUAUUUAAGAUUGUAGCUAAGCGUGCACUAAUUGAUUAAAUAAAGAAUGAAUAAACUUAAAUAGUGUACAAACCUCUCCGCUUCCUUCUUCAUCAUCCUCAUCAUUCACUUCAGAAUUUGACUUCUCCGAUUCUUCUUCAGCAGGUCCUUCAGCCUGUUAGAAAUGUAAGAAUUAAUGGUGUUUAAAUAAACUAGUUGGUUUUUAUUUUGAGAGAAAACUAAAAGAAAAUUACCAGUUUUUUAUUGUAAGCUCGAAGUUCCUUUUCGUAAUCGACCUUCCUUUUCUCCGCCUUUGUUACGUAAGGAGCUUUCUCCUGAUAUUAACGUUCAGAAAUUUAGAACAAAUACAUACAUAAAUUUACAAUUAAAAAAAGAACAAACUAUGGAAUGCUUACAGCCGCUGAAAGUGAUUUCCACUUGUCCCCUCCAGCUUUUCCUACCUGAAUAAAUUAUUAAUUUUGAAAUGACGAUUAUAGUUUUAUUGCAACAAGAAGUAUAAACACACAUAAAUUCGAGAAAAUUUCUAGACUUUGAAACGACUUUAACUAUGUCUUCUUUAUCUAAAAGUACAGAGUGGACUUACAGCCGCCACGGAUUUGUUGUUAGGGUGCUUCUCUUUGUAGGUUUUUCUGAAUUCCUCCCUUUAAUAGAUCAAAAAAAGGAACCGUAAAUAACAUAAUAAUUUAUAAAUUACACACACACUCGCAAAGAGAAAUAAAAGUGAGUUCGUACAUAAAAACGAAGAAAGCACUGGCAGGCCUCUUCGGUUAAAAACAAUGUGUUUUUCUUCCCUGCUCCUUACAUUCCACGAGUAAACAAACCAUGAGGAAUUCUUUGUUAGAGCAGGAUAAAUUGAAUAAGGUACAAGAGCACAUUUCAGUAAGCUUAGAAUUAAUAAGUAAACGUUAAUUAACACUAACAUUUUAUUGUCAAACUGUCUCAAGAAACUGGUUUUUUAAAUUAAUUGAAAAAAUUCCUAAGCUUAACAUAAUGAAUUUAUUUUCUUUUGGUAAAUAAAAAAUUCAUCUUUUAAAGCUUAUAUUUAAGAUUGUAGCUAAGCGUGCACUAAUUGAUUAAAUAAAGAAUG